AUCAGUUGUAGGUCACAUAGCACACAUAGAUUUCACUCAAAAAUUGCUAAAAACAUCAGCAGUGCGAAAAAUGACGUACAAAGCCACAAAGAAGUCACUUCUUGUUUUGGUAUUAAACAUCGUACUUAUUUACUGGUAAGAAUAAUGCAUGAACAUAAUUCAAAUUCAUUGAAAAACAAACAUGAAGAAAUGAUCAGAUGCAUGUGAUGUAUUCUAGCCUUGUUCACCUAUUUUCUUGAGUUCGUUUGUCUUAUUUACUAAUCUUUAAAUGAAUAUUAAGAGCAUAUAAUAAUUUUCUAUCGCCAAUUUUCAGCAACAAAUUCAAUUUUAGAUGAACAUUGGCUCUUUCACUCACAAGCCCUUCAAGAAUGCAUUUUAAUUUGCUGUCAAACAAGUAAAGGCGGCUUCUGUGAUAAACCCAAAGUACCUGCUGAUGUAUAUCACACGUGUAAUACUCUCUGUGGCCUUUCAUUAGCCCAAUAUGAGCCCCUUUCAGAGUCUGCUGAGUAUCCAAUCGUAAGUUUUUUUCUAAAUUCUUGUAGUUCAUAGUUUAUAGUUGAAAUAAUAAGUUAAUGCUGAUCUUCGUAAUUAACUUACUGACUAAUUACACAGAUUUGUAACUUUAGCCUGUUCAAUCAGGUUUGUGUACAGUUUCACAUCAAACCGAGUGUUUCUCUAGGAACUUAAACAUUGUCUAAAAUGACACUUGCUAAAGAAGCACCACUAAGGGCGAUUCCUGUCAAAUCAUUCAACUAGUAGUUGACUGUCUGUUAAGGUUCAACUAGAGGUUGGUGUGUCUUGUCAAUUUACAACUACUGGUUGAAAGGCUGUUAACGGGCUGAUUUUCAACUGGUGCUUUUUCUGCCUGUUAGGUUUCAACUAGGACUUCAGACAAAACAUUCGUUCCGGUUCUUCGCGUUUCACUGGUUCACAAAGAGCCUGAUUUAACUACCUGGGCUCGGUUUGCGGACCUCGCCACACAGUGGGACGAAAAGGUGUCAAAACGGGACAUUCGCACAUUAGACGAUAAUUUUUCGCCGAUCUUCUCAAAACUUGACAUUUUCGGUCUUUUUGGGAAAAGGAAUCCAAUAUUAUGCUCAGUAUUCGAUUCAUAGUGACAAUCCCGCCAAAAAAUGAUGUUGCCAAGUCUCUGUUUUAAUCUAUUUGAUAAACAGAUUAGCAUGAUUAUGGUAGAGAUUUAACGCGCGUGUCGUUUGCUUUUUUUCGUUGAAAAAGAAAAUGAAUUCACUUAUCCUGGAUUGAGAAAUGCUUUUAUUAAGAAUAAACACCCCCCCCCCCCCCCACCAUCCUCUUACCUCCCGCAAAAACCGCAACGAUAAUUGACUAUAGGGGAUGAGUUCAUCAAUGGGCAGACAUUAAAGUGAAUCCGAAAAUCACAAACGAAUAAGUUGCUCCCAAAUAUUAUCAUUCUUUGACACAGAUGCUGUUUUUUCCGUUUUUUUUCAAGGAUUUUUCUUCUUCCGUUUUUGAGCGCCAUUUUCUAAAAU
rnacentral:lncRNA from 1 species